GAUUUAAUUAUGUUUAUUGCGCAUUUAGUUUUAAAGAGUUUUUAAUUUUUUAUUUCUCGCAGAUUUGUCCAUGGAAGCAGUCACGGAUUUUCGGUUGCCAAAAAGCCCUUUAAAGCAGGUAAGAAGUUUUUGGUCUAAUUUGUUAAUUGUGUAUAUGUUAAUUAUUUUGAUUUUUUAUUAUAUUACAGGCGCAGCGGAAGAAAUUUUUUGUUGUUACUGGAUCGUGUUUGAGUCAGAUAAGUUUAUAGUUAAAUUUUUUGUUAAUGCGCAUUUAGCGCAUUUUGAAGAUUUUUUGUUUUUAUUUUUAUUUUUUGCAGAUUCAUCCAUUGCAGCAGUCAGAGUUUGGGGGUCAAAAAUCAUUUAAAGCAGGUAAGUAGCUUUUAAGAUUAGAUGUAUUUAUUGCGCUUGUGUAUUUUUAUUUUUUUUUGUAGACGUAUCCCUCGCCGCAGUCGUGUUUACCAGGACCCUGGCAAGCCCAAGCGUGGUUCUGGCUGUGUGUUUGUGUGGAAUUUACUCGUCGCAGUUGAUAUGUGGUUGGGGUAGGCUUAUCCCUCGCCGCAGUCGAGUGUGGAAUUCCCUCGCCGCAGUCAAGGUGUGUCCCCCGCCGCAGUCGUGUGCACCCGGAGCCUGUGUGAGCCCGAAUGGGUUCCAAUAAUGUGUCUGUGUGGAAUUCCCUCGCCGCAGUCAAAGUGUGGUUUGGGUAGGAAGUGUAUCCCUCGCCGCAGUCGUGUGCACCCGAAGCCGGUCAGGAGUCCAAGCAUGGUUUAGAUGGGUGAAUGUGUUGUUGGUUUUAUUUAUUAUAAAUGAUGUGUUUUUAAAUAUGCCCUUUUUUUCCGCAGGUUCGUCCAUACGAGCAGAUUGAAGCCGUAGCCUCACCCCUCUCCGCAGUUUCAACCAUCAGGAAUCGCAAGGAUGUUCCACCAAUUAGGCUGACCCUAGCUGGCAGUAAGGAUGGGAAGAUACCCCGCUGCCAUCGCCUUUCUUUGGACCGGAAAGGAGUCCAUCGGCUGUAUGCGCGCCUGUGUGUUCGCGCAGAGCGUGUCCCUCGCUGCAGUCGUGUCCGGAGAUCCUUGUAGGGGUUCGUUGCAUCAGUUUUCACCAUCAUGGUCAGUCAGAGGCGCGACCCAAUCAGGCAGCGCGAGGCCUUCCCUAUGGCCAGGAAAGCUUUCAAGGCAGGAGCUUAUGCUUGUGGAGAUCAGGCUUUUCAUCUAUAUGAGGUAUUACAGGUGAGUGCUUUGUCUGUCUAUUAUAUUGGAUCUGUCUUGGUCCUUAAUGUCCUCUGCGUUUAUUGGAGAGUCGACCCUAGCAGCAAGGACCCCAAGGGAGAGCUGUGGUUGACAAUGACCCUUAACCGCAUUUCGUGUGUCUUGCUUAAUGUAGCCAUUGCUUGCUUCAUUUUGGGAGAGUCAAUCGCAGUAAGGACCCCUUUUUGGGAGAGCUGCACAUGGCAAGGACCUCUUAUUGUGAGCAGGCACUUUGUGUUCUUUGCCUGGGCUUCGUAUUUUGGAGAGUCGACCCACACAGCAAGGACCCCAAAGGAGAGCUGUGGUCGAUAAGGACCCUUAAUCGUUUACAGUGGCAUGAAUGCUAUUUGUGUUUACUAUAGCUAAGGUUGGGAGAGCUAGUUGUGGUAAGGACCCCUUAUUGGGAGAGCCGCAGUUUGGAAGGACCCCCCAUUGUGAGCGUUGAAGAAUUUUUUAGUUUUAAUUUUAUUUGCUCCUUUGUUUUACUGUGUGAGAGAGUCAAUCUCCUCAGUCACAUCAGUAGAAACCUCUUUUGGCUCAGUUAGGAGAGUCAAAUGCAGUAAGGACCCCUCAAUUUGGGAGAGCUGUGCAUGGCAAGGACCCUUUAUUAUGAGCAUCAUUUUGAUUUUUGAUUUAGUUCACGCAUCCAUGCGUCUGUGUGGAGUUCACUCGCCGCUUUCGGAAUGUGGUUGGGGUGUGUCCAUCGCCGCAGUCAUGUACCCGAAGCCGGGUAGGAGUCCAAGCAUGGUUUAAAUGGUCAUGUCCAGCCGGUCGCUUUUUUGUGAGCAGGAUCCCUUUGCGAAUUUUACACGAGCAGUACAUGGCUCGGGAAGGCAGUUCAAGACCUCCAGAAGAACGCAGGACAGUUUGGAGUCGUCCAGGACAGGAGCAGGUGUUUGUGAAGAACUGGUAAUCUAUUGAUGGGCCCAUUUUUGAAUUUAAUUUUGACCCCUUUCCCCUUUUUAUUGUAUUUUUUUAAUUAGUUGGAUAGUAUAGGGUUUGUUGUCCAAUGUGGGUUUGGAAGUCAGGUAUUAUUAUCCUUAUGAUGCCGUGAGGUUGUCCUUCCAUUUUGUCAAGUAGUUCUUCUCAUUUUAUUCUUCCCUCUCUAAAAAGUUUAUUAUAUUUGUUGAUAAGCAAUUCACACCAUCUCUC